UCUAUCUGGAAACCUACUAUGCUGUACUUACUGCUCCCCACUUCCCCCACCCCGGCUGUCUGAGAAACUCUCAGGGGUCCUCAAAGAACAGUUUGAAAAGCCCAUCUCUUUGCCCCUACAUCAGACUCAGCCUUAUGGAAGAGGAUGAGGAAGAAGAGUUAGAAAUUCAGGAUGAGUCAAUUGAAGAACGGCAGGAUACAGACAUGCAAGCAAGUAGCUACUCUUCCCCCAGUGAGCGCGGGCUGGACCUCUUAGAUUCUACAGAGCUGGAUAUUGAGGAUUUCUGACAGGACUCUGGGCCCCUCCCCAGCUCCACUCCCUACCUCAAGAAUGUGACCAUUUGGAAAAGGCAAAGAGAAAAGGAGCACAAUGAAGCAUUCCCCCAGGCUUCAGCCCUGGGCUCUGAGGGGAAAGAGUUGGGCAUUGUUUUUCUAACCUAACCUUUCCCUCCGGUGAUGUUGGGGUAGAGAAGCCGAGAGACCCCGUCCUCCCUAAUGCACUGUGGCCCAGUCCCCCUGCCUUUUUCCUGUUCUGUUUGGAGUGGAGAGGGGCAGCACUUCUCUGUGUUUAAUGGAAACAGCCUGUAGUUUCCUGGAUUUUUGGAACAUCUUUCUCAGCCUAUUUUGUGUCCUAAUGAUUCGCUCAAUAAACAUGUUUGAAUCCAC
rnacentral:sRNA from 1 species